GGAGGGUGCGAGCGUUGUUCGGAAUUACUGGGCGUAAAGCGCGUGUAGGCGGCCUUGCAAGUCAGGCGUGAAAGCCCUCGGCUUAACCGGGGAAGUGCGUCUGAAACUGCUUGGCUUGAGUACGGGAGAGGGAGGCGGAAUUCCCAGUGUAGAGGUGAAAUUCGUAGAUAUUGGGAGGAACACCGGUGGCGAAAGCGGCCUCCUGGACCGAUACUGACGCUGAGACGCGAAAGCGUGGGGAGCAAACAGGAUUAGAUACCCUGGUAGUCCACGCGGUAAACGAUGGGCACUUGGUGUGGGGGGUAUCCACUCCUCCCGUGCCGAAGCUAACGCAUUAAGUGCCCCGCCUGGGGAGUACGGCCGCAAGGUUA
rnacentral:rRNA from 1 species